rnacentral:rRNA from 1 species
GACGAACGCUGGCGGCGCGCCUAACACAUGCAAGUCGAACGGAGCUGAGAGAAGCUUGCUUUUCUUAGCUUAGUGGCGAACGGGUGAGUAACACGUGAGUAACCUGCCCUGGAGUGGGGGACAACAGUUGGAAACGACUGCUAAUACCGCAUAAGCCCACGAUCCGGCAUCGGAUUGAGGGAAAAGGAUUUAUUCGCUUCAGGAUGGACUCGCGUCCAAUUAGCUAGUUGGUGAGGUAACGGCCCACCAAGGCGACGAUUGGUAGCCGGACUGAGAGGUUGAACGGCCACAUUGGGACUGAGACACGGCCCAGACUCCUACGGGAAGCAGCAGUGGGGGAUAUUGCACAAUGGGGGAAACCCUGAUGCAGCGACGCCGCGUGGAGGAAGAAGGUUUUCGGAUUGUAAACUCCUGUCGUUAGGGACGAUAAUGACGGUACCUAACAAGAAAGCACCGGCUAACUACGUG